rnacentral:rRNA from 1 species
CACGUAGGGCGCAAGCGUUGUCCGGAAUCAUUGGGCGUAAAGAGCUCGUAGGCGGUUUGUCACGUCUGCUGUGAAAACUCGGGGCUUAACCCCGAGCUUGCAGUGGAUACGGGCAGACUAGAGGUAGGUAGGGGAGAAUGGAAUUCCCGGUGUAGCGGUGAAAUGCGCAGAUAUCAGGAGGAACACCAACGGCGAAGGCAGCACUCUGGGCCGGUACUGACGCUGAGGAGCGAAAGCGUGAGGAGCAAACAGG